GAAGAAAAGUGCGAAAAUAAUCUUCAUCCACACUGCGAUGUAGAGCAUAAACCCUCCAAAAAAACAACAAAUGGGGCUUAAACUUGACAUGAUGCUCCUGAUUCACCAGCAGCACGUGUAUAGAGUUGUAAACUUGUCUCACACGUCAAGUAAGAUGACUGACACGGCACCUGACCAAUGGGAGGAAGAAGAGCGAAUCAAACAACCAAUAAGCUUCCAGUGCUGUUGAUUUCAAGGAUAUUUUGAGACUUCUUUAAGUCCACAAACAGAAUCAUAAGCAGCUGUGAACUCUGCCAGGCCUCCGAUGUGGGCAGAGA